GGGCUGAAAUGCAUGCUGACGAAAAUUGGCGGGAAAAAAUUGUUUACGUGUUAACAGUGUAACGUCUGUCACGGAAGUCGAAUUUGUGCUUUAUUGGCAAAUUUAAUCGAUUAAAACUACUUUGUCAGCAAGAUUAAUUGAAGAAAUAAAACUUUGUCAAGAAAAAUAUCAGUUUCUGUCUUUUAUUUUUGUUUUAAAUGAAGUUUUUGUUCUAGCCCGGUUGCCCGGGCUGGAUACUUUACAUGGAGAAAUUUCAUCCCGGCUGACCGGGCGCCCCGUUUGAGUCAAGUGGGAUCCCAGCUAAACGGGCUGGCCCGGAUUGUCAUGUAAAGUAAAAUUGCUUUGUGUUGGAAAUUACCAUGAAGCCGGGCGCCCCGUUUAAGCGAGCCAGCCCUGCAAACCGGGCUCAUUUAAGAAUAUAUCAAGUGGAAUCUGUUGAAUUAAUCGCUGUUUUUAUAAUGAGCGUACAAAUACAAAUACAAACGACAAAUACUAUCGGAUUUCAUAUUUAAGUCUAAUACUGCUAUAUUUCACUAUAUUUUAGAUAGUAUUUUAAUACGUUUCGCAGUUUUAUA